UUUUUUUUUUGCUAAGCAUGGAGAAAGACAGACAUCAGGAGGCUACACCGACAUCCCAACUAGGUUGGCACCCCGGGAAGCCUCCGUCCUAUGCCCGUCUAACUCUAAAAUUUUAUUAAAAAAAAGGGGAAAAUAAUUUUACAAAGAGAUGGGGGACUAGGCCAAAACCCUCAAAGAAAAAACAAAAGAAAACAUAAAAAACGACUACUAAAAUCUAUAAUUGGGCAAGCCAAUUCUGUCACGAAAUAAAUCCAUAUGCAACUCCG
rnacentral:lncRNA from 1 species